AUUUAAUUGAUUUGACCAAGACAUAUUGGGGAGCUUGUGGCAGAGCUCUAGAGCAAACUUAAAUGUACUGCUUUCAUAGACCCAGGCCUCAAUCACAGCCAGGAUCACUUGGUGUGGUUUUAGGACAUGUACACAUAUAUAGAUGCAAUUAAUCCAAGCAUGAUGGGGAGAAAGGAGUAAGCCCUUUAGCCCUCUGGAUAAGCCUGAGGUCUGUGCUGUCGAUAACCAUGAGGUCAAGCAAAAGGGAUGACAAACGCAUUCACUUUGCUGAUGUGUGGGCUCAGCACAAGUGAAGCUGGAGGAGGUGUGCUGUCUUCCUCGCAGCCAUUGCAGGAUCCUGGGGAACAGGACACAGUGGGGUGGCUCGGGGACAGGAGGGGAACAGCCUGGGUACAUCUGCUUUUUACUUUGAGUCCUUGUUAUCCCAGCCCUCAGUGAUCUCUGGCAAUGGGUUCAUGAUCUCUAUCUUCUGGGGACCACGUUUGCUCCCACGAUAAAUGGGCAAUUAUUCCUUUGUAUCGCUGUGCCUGGACAAUUGGACCUCCAUCUCUGAUAUGAACACAGGUCCAGAAUGGGAGCCUCUUUGGCUGGCUCUUCCAUCUGGAACAUACCUCUCCAAGACUGUGCCUGAGCUAUCGAAGAUGGUGAUAUUAUCUUGGUCUCUAGAUGAUGAGUCCAAUAAAGACCUAACAACUGGUGCUAUAAAAGUUUAUAUUCCCAAGAACAGAAAUCCUGGAUUUAAACUGGCUGCACUGGAACAAAGAUCUAGCACAGCUGAGAAGGCUAAAUGUGAACUCAUCAGAGGAAAGAUGUGCACUUAAGGAUGCAUUUAAGGAAUUAGGCAAGAAUCCAGACUGUAACAGCUUAUCAUCAACAGCCAUGGCUUCUGCAAGGGAGUUCCUGUCCCCUUCCUCUCCUGUGGCCCAGCUCAGAGCCUGUUUGCUGUACCUGGAUGAAUUGAGAGGCACUUCUUCAGAGUCAGAAUCCAGCCCUUGGGCUCUAGGGCUGACCCUGAAAAUAUCAGCUCUGGCCCAGAUGAGGCCGAGCCUUCUCGCCUUCUCACUCUGUUUAAUGUCACUGACAACUGUGUGUAGGAGGAUUGUUCUUGGCAUGUACAAGACUACUCAUGAAGCGUCGCUCUGCUGAUUAAAACAUGUGGAAAACAAACCGUGUCAGGUCCUGCUCCCUCCCUCCCUUUGCUGCCUUCCCCUCAGGGAAGUCUGCCAGGGCAGCCAAGUGAGACCCUCUUUGACUCUU
rnacentral:lncRNA from 1 species